rnacentral:rRNA from 1 species
AACGGUAACAGGAAAUAGCUUGCUUAUUUUGCUGACGAGUGGCGCACGGGUGCGUAACGCGUAUACAAUCUACCUUUUGCUGAGGGAGUAGCCCAGGGAAAUUUGGAUUAAUACCUCAUGGUAUUAUUGAUAGGGCAUCUAUUAAUAAUUAAAGGUUACGGCAAAAGAUGAGUAUGCGUCCCAUUAGCUAGUUGGUGAAGUAACGGUUCACCAAGGCAACGAUGGGUAGGGGUCCUGAGGAGGGAGACUCCCCCACACUGGUACUGAGACACGGACCAGACUCC